rnacentral:rRNA from 1 species
GAUGAACGCUAGCGGCAGGCUUAACACAUGCAAGUCGAGGGGUAUAUGUCUUCGGAUAUAGAGACCGGCGCACGGGUGCGUAACGCGUAUGCAAUCUGCCUUUCACAGAGUGAUAGCCCAGAGAAAUUUGGAUUAAUACCUCAUAGUAUUAUGUUUUGGCAUCGAGAUAUAAUUAAAGUCACAACGGUGAAAGAUGAGUA